UACGAAGGGGGCUAGCGUUGCUCGGAUUGACUGGGCGUAAAGGGCGCGUAGGCGGUUUGCACAGUCAGACGUGAAAUUCCUGGGCUCAACCUGGGGGCUGCGUUUGAUACGUGUAGACUUGAGUGCGGAAGAGGGUCGUGGAAUUCCCAGUGUAGAGGUGAAAUUCGUAGAUAUUGGGAAGAACACCGGUGGCGAAGGCGGCGACCUGGUCCGAUACUGACGCUGAGGCGCGAAAGCGUGGGGAGCGAACAGG
rnacentral:rRNA from 1 species